AUUGAACGCUGGCGGCAUGCUUUACACAUGCAAGUCGAACGGCAGCGCGGGGGCAACCCUGGCGGCGAGUGGCGAACGGGUGAGUAAUACAUCGGAACGUACCCAGAAGUGGGGGAUAACGUAGCGAAAGUUACGCUAAUACCGCAUACGUUCUACGGAAGAAAGUGGGGGAUCGCAAGACCUCAUGCUUUUGGAGCGGCCGAUGUCUGAUUAGCUAGUUGGUGAGGUAAAGGCUCACCAAGGCGACGAUCAGUAGCUGGUCUGAGAGGACGACCAGCCACACUGGAACUGAGACACGGUCCAAACUCCUACGGGAGGCAGCAGUGGGGAAUUUUGGACAAUGGGGGCAACCCUGAUCCAGCAAUGCCGCGUGAGUGAAGAAGGCC
rnacentral:rRNA from 1 species